UCUGGUUGGAGAUCUCUUCUUGGUGGAGCUUUCCCUGCUGAGCCUGGAAUCUUCUGAUACAGAGGACAGGGAUAGGAAGAAAAUACUUCAUUUGAAAGUUAGUAUUUGAGGAACAGCGUGUAACUGGCAUCCUGUGAACAAGCCUGGGGCAGACCUCGGGCCACAGCCAAAUGCAACCUGAAAGCUUCUGGCCAUCAGCUCCAGGACACCUGUGCUGACAUCCAGCACACUCCAUGCAGAAGAACUGAUGGAGAAAGAAGGGAGUCACAGGUGAUGGGGGCUGUGGUGCUAAAUGCACCGGUUCUUAGCAAUGUGUCCCAUAGGAGGGGAUGUGAUAUAAUUACUCAAGCUAUGGUGAGCAGCAUCAUACUAAGAAAGCAAAGAAGCAAGGAUGUGUGAAGGCCCCCAGCAUCAGCUGGCCCCCAGCUGUUGUGUCUGAGGCUCCCAGUGCUGGGAGAUGCUGGGCCACGUAACACCUUUGUUGUCUCCCUUUGCAGUCUGAGCAGGAUCUGCUGCUGCUUCCCACCAGCCUUUGUCAGCACUGUCCCUUGUUCAGACUGCUGCUGGACUGCUAAUGAGGCAGUAAUUGGCUCCAUGUCAGCAGGAUGGCAACAACCAGGGACCAUGUGCUGCACGUUCCCUGGAACAAGAGCAGCAGGAGAGCUGUGCUCUGGUCUCUGGACCUGGUCCUGACCAAACCAGGGCUUUGUUUACUCAAAUAGCUAAAGGGAACAUCCUUCCCCAGCACCCAGCUGUGCUGCGUGUGGAGCUUUUGCCCUGCAUUUUACCCUGUUUGGGUGUUUCUGCCCUACUGUGAAUGUACCACCUGCAUAGUGCUAGUGCCCUGACUGCCAGGAGCAAGCAGCCCAUAGGAUCUGUUUGCAGAUUAUUCACAACUGGUUUUUCUCUUCCAUCUGCCUAACUUGACCAUCUGGUAUAUUCUUCAUUCCUACAGGAUAGGAUAGCAGCAAGGCUUCUGGGCCUGGCUUUCACUCCAAUUCAUCAGCAGCAAUAACACAGUCAUGGCAGAGCAUCUCUCUGACUCAGACAUUUUGGCUUACCAGCAUGGUGAUACCACACAUUAUUGCCCUACAAACCUUUCUGGGUAGAAGUGCAAUGACUGGAUUAAGCAUCCCCAGCCUGCUUCCCGUGUGCUCUGCCUGCAGCAAUCCCAUCCUGUGCAUUCCAGGGCAACUCAAGGCUUUUCUCUCUCAGCAAAAGGGGCUUGUGCAGAAACAGAUUUUGUUUCCAUCCAUUUUCCUCUGCUGCACCAGUAGAGUAACACAGAGACAACCAAUGUUCCUUUGGAGUGUAAUCAAACUGCCUCUCAGAUAUGGGCAUGUUU
rnacentral:lncRNA from 1 species